rnacentral:lncRNA from 1 species
AGAUAAGUCAUCAUAGGUGAAACUGCUUUGGUUAAAACCAAGAGCCAUAGAUGGGUGUGGGGGUGGUAAUGGAGGUUGAUAUGGACCAGAAAAAGCGGCAGAGCUAAUUUCACUGCUACUCAUCAUUGGUGGUGGUGGUGGAGGUGCUAUUGGCCAGCUCAAUUCUGAACUUACAUUUGUACUAGUUGGUUGAGUAGUAGGCAUCUUAACCAUAUGUUCAGUUGAUAUAACAUUGUUGUUGUUGUGCCAAUUCCCAUAUUGUCCACUAUUAUAGUAGUCAGUACCUGCACGAUACAUGAAAACAUGAUUACAUACGUACUAAGCUAAUAUAGCUAUCUAUUUUAAUUAAGAGAGAUUAAGUAAACAGAUUUAGAGAAUUUAAUUUAAAGAAGGCACAAAUAAAGAAAUAUAUUCUAGUUAAUUUAUUACAUUUAUCAUAUUUUUUUAUUGUUAGUCAUUAUAACCAAUUACUAUUUUAACAUGUUUCGUGGAACACAAAGUUAAUGAGCUCAAAUCUUAUGAUCUUUUAUGGUUAGGCUUAUAAGUGAUUCAUAUUGGUUUACAACCAUUUUUUGUCUUAUUUGCAAUAAGCUAAAAUCUAUCAAAAGUCAUAAGUUGUUUACUUUUAACUUAUAACUUCAACUUAUAAAAACUUUUAGUUUGAGAAUAAUGAAGUCUCAAAAUAUCUUUUUUCAUAAUAAAAUUGUAACUUCUGCGCGUUCUAUAUUUGAUGUUUCGCAUUUCAUUUAAAAGAAACUUUUAUAUUCCUAAUUUUUGUUCAACACUCAAAGGUUUUAAUUAGUCAUUUUAAUGAAAAAUAAUACAUAAUAUUUUGGCCUAACACGUCAAUUGCUUAGUACCUGUUUUAAUAUUUUUAUCCAAACACAUGAUUACUUAGUAUAAAACACAACUAGAACGCUUUUAAAUAUUCUUACUUACCAUAUAUUGACAAUCAGUGAAUCUAAACGGGUUCGUAUGCCGAUUUUUAGGGUGACAAAGAAAGCACAAAUAUGAAAUAACAAUUUCAACAAAUCUUGAAACUGAAUAAUGAUAUACUCUGGAACUAGAAGACAAAAAUAGUAUAACGUGCAUGAAUGAGAAUGAGAAGAUAACCAAGAAAUGGGUUAGAUAGAGAAAGUUCUCUGCUUUCUCUCUACUUCACUCCCACUGGUCUCGUAAUCAAAGGACAACAUUUUCUUUCCUGAAUAUAUUAUGCUAAUAGAUACCAAUAAUGCAGUAGAAACCACAGCAAAUGGGAACUUUUCCUAUCUGCAAAAAUUAAUGACACCCUCUCAACUAUCUUUUGUAAAUACUUCUACUUUCUCACUAUAAGUUGACAUGAAUGACGAGAUCCUGAUAUAGAACGACGACCCAAACUUUAUUCCGCUAACAACUGAGGACAAAAACCGUAUCUACAAGCCUUGGCAGCACUCUUUAAUCAUAAAGCUUAUUGGAAGGAAAAUGGGUGACCAACUCCUAAAGCAAAAAUUAACACAAAUAUGGAAGCCCACAGAAAUCUUGUUGACUUAGGAUCGGACUACUUUCUCAUUAAAUUCUUGAAUGAUAAAAAUGGUUUCCAUGUACUACACAAUGGACCUUGGUUCGUAAUAAACAACCAUUUAUCAGUCCAAAGAUGGGAGCCAAAAUUUGUUGCAUCACAAACGGUCACUUAUACAACAAUUUGGCUUCGACUCCCAAAACUGCCUAGUGAAUUCUAUGAUCGGGAUAUUCUACAUAAAGAAGGCCAAAAGGUAGGAACCUUGCGAAAAAUUGAUGAAUGUACCUCUACAACAACUAGAGGAAGGUAUGCGUGCCUAUGUGUUCAAGUUUCGAUGGAACAACCCUUAAUUCAUCAUGUCUAUAUCGGAUCACAUAAGCAAGUGAUUCAUUAAGAGGGUAUUGACUUACUGUGACUUAUUGGUCGACCAUAACAACUCCUAAGCAUGUCGGAGGUCUAGUCAAACAGAGUUUAGCAAUGAAAAACUGUUUAUUGCUGGCUUUUACAGGAUGGCACUUAUUUCACGGCCAAAAUACCAUUUGGGCAUCCAUACUAAGAAAUAAAUACUUAAGAACCUCUAUAGCCCCUGCGACCACUUCCACAACCUGGAACAACCUACAGGUUUGUUGGAAAUAUUGUCAGAAAGGGCUUCUAUGUCAGCCAGCAAAUGGAAGACACAUUAGCUUCUAGAACAAACCUUGGUUUAACCGGGGCACCCCUUAUACAUGGACCCUUAACGCAACAUGAAGACUCCAAAAAAGUUUUCUAAUAUAGACAAGACAAUGAUUGGAAUUUGAGUAAGGUUCCCUUUAUCUUAGCCCAACCUAUAGUUAGACAAAUUCAAUCGACAUACUUUCCACUAUACUCGAAUAGCUACGAUCAUAUUAAAUGGGAUCUAACACCCAUAGGUAAGUUAACGCUACACACUUUUUACAACUAUAUAAGUGUAGAAUAUAUGGAUAUUACCAACCCUUGCAACUUUAAUUGGAUUUGGAAGAUUAAUACUCUCCCAAAAAUUAAGAACUUUCUGUUGUUGUUAACUUUAAUUCGACUUCCAACUUUGUCCCACCUACGCCACAUAUCUUACUUAUAAUCAUCAGCUUGUAAGCUUUUCCAUAGUGAUUACUUAUAAUCAUCAGCUUGUAAGCUUUUCCAUAGUCAUGAUCCCGAAAUAGUACAUCAUUUGUUCUCUUCUUGUGCCUCACUUACAGGCUUCUGUGAAAACUUAGUCGCAAAAAUUGGUUCAUAAAUGCAUCCUCCUCCACAUAGCUCUCAUAUCACUUUCAUUAAUUGGCUGAAGGGUAAUAUCCAAAGACAGAAGCGCACAUCUUCGAGCAUACCAAUGGAAAUAUUGCUAUCUUUUUCUUUAUGGGUCAUAUGGAACCAUCGUAAUAGCGUCAUGUUUAGUAGUAACUAUUGUGUAAACCCUUCUCCAACUGCUGCUAAUUGUUUGGCUACUGAAUUUUUGUAUUUUGUGGGAGACUCACACAUCAAAAAUAAGUUUUUCACCCUUUAGGUCAAAUAAAAGCCUCCUACACCUAAUUAUUUAAUGCUAAACACUGAUGCUACCAUUUCUUUAAACAUGAAUAUAAGAGGAUUAGGGGGGGUUCGUUCAAGCAUGGGUGAAUGGAUUCUGCGUUUUACUGCGCAUACUAUUAUUCAUGAUCUUACUCAGUUAGAUUCUUGCUCUAUUCAUUGGCUUGCUGUUUGCUGUGAAAUACAAUCUGGAACCACUGCAAGUCAAUGUAGAUGUAGUCCAGCUAGCUUCCUGUUAGGUUUUUGCCCUAAUUUUUUUACUAUAUUUAAGUUUUACUUUUUCUUAGAAGCAAAAUAAAAGUUUCUAUAAUUAUUUUUACUUUUCCUGAAAAAAAAACAUAAUUCUUUUUCAUAUUUGGCUAACCUCUUUCUUGGAGGAAAGGUUUUGGGACUUUAUAAACCCUCUUCUCAUACAAUAACACAAUAGCAUCCACAAUGUAGUCUUUUAAGAUUUUCAUUUAGGGGGAGAUUUUUUCUCAUAUUAGUUUUAUGUUUUUAAUAUUAGGUUUUAUAUAUAGGUCAAUUGGUGAAAACAUAUAAUAGUUUUAUGCUCUUUAGUGUUAUUUUCUUUGUUGUCUAAUUUAUCAUCUCAUGAUAUGCAAACUUUAAGCUUCCGCAUGACGCCCUCUCGAUUUCGAACCCAACACUUCCAACUAUGCUAAAUAGCGUAGAAACAUAUGCUAACUUUUCCUCAGUCUUAUGUGAUUGUAGGUUCCUUCUUCAUCAGCUGGGUAGUCCGAAACUUGUUCAUAUCUACAGAGCACAGAAUAGAAUAGCUGAUAGCCUAGCAAGACGAGAUCUCUACUGCACAACCAUCCAAUAUAUCUACUAGUUUUGCAGCCUCGGAUGCUUUUACUUUUUGGUCGCCUCCACCAGACAUGAUGGAUGUUUUGAAUGCAUAUAAAAUAGGAGACUUUGCUACUAGACGGGUUAAGACCUUGAGAGUUUUACUGCCUAGUACUUCUAUAUAUCCUCCUUGUACUGCUAUGUUAGGAACUACUAUGUUAGAAACUAUUGGAUGACUUAUAAAUAUUGCACAUUGUGCAGAUAUUAUGGUGACAGCGCUACCAAAUCGCACUCUGUAAUGUUUUGCUAUGAUGAUAAUAUAAUAUAAGAAUCCUAGUUACCAAAAAAAAAAGAAUGAGAAGAAUAACAAUUGCAACAAAUCUUGAAACUGAACAAUGAUAUACUCUCGAUUUAAAAGACAAAAAAAUAGUAUAACGUGGAUCCAUGAGUAUGAGAAGAAUAAGAUCCACAUUAUUUUCAAUUUACUUUAGUCAUUUGUUUUUGGAAAAAGGUCAAAAAUUCCUCUCUACUUUAAUAAGUUGUCUAAGUUUGUCUCUUGAUAUACUACAGAAUUAAAUAUACUCCUAUCAUUAGUAAAUUUAUUAAAAAUAUCCCUUACUUUAACAUUUUUUCUUCAUGACAAAGUGAGAGUCACGUGGCAUGACACUUGAAUGAAGUGAAUGCAACGUGACAUGCCAACUCAGGACCAAUUUUUUGCUUUUUCCUUUUUAUUUUUCUGGCUUUAUUAACUAUUUGACCGGUAAUAAAAUAAAAUAAAAAUAUUUUAAAAAAAUAAUUUCCCCCUCCGUCUCAUUUUAUAUGUCGGAAUUUUCAUUUUUGUUUGUUCCAAAAUGAAUAUAAUAUUUCCUUAUUUAAUAAUUAUUUAAAGACAUAAUUUCACAUUUAUCUUUAUUGGUCUCAAUAGUACAUUUUUUGAAAAUAAUUUAUUAAAAAUCAUUAAAUCUUUUCUUAUUUCUUAAAUUUGUGCCCUCUCAAACUAUUGCAUAUAAAAUAAGACGGAUGAAGUAAUUAAUAACAAUUUUGUCCAUCCCAGCAUCACAUCACACCACAAACCAUCACUUUUUUCUGGGACCUUGAAUUAAAAGGGACAAAAAAGCUUUCCAAUUAAGUGAGGGUCUUUGAAGUUUUAAAAAUUAGGUAAAGGGAUAAAUUCUUUUUCAAUUUUUUUUAAACAUUUUUAUUCCAACAACUUUGCACAGUUGUUGAACAACUUUGUACAAUUAUUGAACAACAUUGAAAAGUUGUCAAAUAACUUUGAUAGUUGUUUGACAACUUUACAAAGUUGUUUAACAAGUAUCAAAGUUGUUCGAUAAUUUUUCAAAGUUGUUCUACAACUGUACAAAGUUGUUCGACAACUUUGAUCGUUGUUUAAACAACUAAUGCAGUUAUCGAACAACUGUCUCAAUUAUUUAAGACACUUUAUCUUUUUAACUUAAUAAUAUUGUUGGACCCACUUAUUCUUUUUUUAAUUAAAAACUUGAGAGGUAUUUCAGCUCAUUUUUCUCCAAGUGUCACACCACCAUCAGUCCCCACAACCUUUUCCCUCUUUUUCCGGCCAAACUCCGAUGCCAUUAACGCCGUGCUUCAAGCCCGUGUAAACCAACAAUGACCAGUCUCUUUUCUUACCCCCUUCACAUUUUAUUUUAGUUUCUCUUUCUGUCUUUUAGAGGUUCUUGGACAAACUCAUCAUGAAGUAGGUCAAACCUUGGCAGAACACACAAUCUAGAUUAAAUCUAUUGAACAUAGUCUCCGGCAAACUAGUACCCGAGACUGCUCCAUAUUUAUUCUUAGAUAGUGCUUUAAAGCUCCCUAGUUUUUUGAUUAAAAAAUUAAUUUAGAAUAUAUAAAAAAUGUUAUUCAUCAAAUUUUUUAGAAUAUUUAUUUUUCUAAAUUAUAUAAUUCUUAUAAUUUGAAGCAAAAAAUAAAAAUGAUAAAGGGAAAAGAAAAUUUGAUGAUGAGGUGAUAUGUCAUGUGUCAAAUCAAAUAAAAAGUGUUAAAAAGUGUUAUGGUAGAAAAUUGGAUGACUCUCACCUAAAUAUGGUGGAUAAGUGUUAAAAAGAGAUAUAUUUUUGAUAAUUGUGCUAAUAACACAAGUAUAUUUAACUCUAUAAUAAAUUGAAUAACAAUCUUAGUUACUUUAACAAAGUAGAGGGAUUUUUUAAAUUGUUUUCCCUAUAUUUUAUGGAUCGUUAGAUUGAUAGCCAAAUUCUUUUUCAAUGAUUGCAUAUCUGUCAAUUCUCUUUCAUAGGUAGUGCAUUUAUAACUAAUUCUAUUCGAAUGACGACGUUAAAUAGAAAAAUGAUUUCUUCAACAUAAAAUAUAUUUCCUUCAUUCUCUUUUACUCAUCACAAAUUUUCUAACUUAAUUUUUAUUUUUAUUUAUCAUUUUCACUGAUUUAGACAAGACAAAUUUGUUUUUCAUACUAUACCCUUAUUUUAUUACUCCUAAUAGUAUUGAACUAAUUAACCUUGUAGAAUGUUUGAAGACCUUUUGAAGUCUCCAAAGGUUAAAUUAAUCGUGCGGAACUCACAAAGUGUUUAAACCAUUCAUUAAUCGAUAAAAAAAUUAAAUUAUCUAGCUCAAUGAAAAUAUUUAAAUUUAUAUGAUUCAGUAGACUUAGAUUGAUUUUGUCAUGUAUCCAUUGUUGUUUGAAAUUUUAUUUCACUGAAGUAUUUUUAUAAUGAAAUAUUAGAUGAAAAAAUUUUUAAUGUUGGUAUAAAAAUAAUGCAGAAGUUUAAAUUGUUUUCCUCCAAAUUUUUUUACUACAAUUCUACUAAAGAAAUUAACUUUGUUGGAAUUCAACUAAAGAAAAUGGAUGAACUGCUCCAUUAUAAUAUAAAAGUCAGCUAAUAACUCUUACCCAAUAAAAUGUUUUGAUAUCAUUGAAAUAAUUACUCUACCAAUAUUGAAAUUGACUUUAUUUAAUACUACAUGGCACAACCAUUAAUAGAGGGCAAUAUUGUAAAAUUAUAUCAAUCUUUAAUUUCUUAAUAUGUGUGUCAUCUCAAUUUGUGACGAGUAAAAUCGAAGGGAGUAAUUUAUUUUGUCUAAUUUUUGUGAAGCUUUUUUUAGUCAAUCUAACAAAAAAUGAUAUUAUUUUAAUUUAUUAUAUUUAGUGAUACUAUCAACAUUUAUUUAUAGUAGGUCCCACUCAUUUGAUAUUGUAGAAAAUUCAGGAUCACUCAUAAGGAUUGUUUUAAGGCCGAUUAGGGUAAUUAAGUUAAAACACAUACAUGAUGUAUAAUUAAAUAGCUACUCAUAAUAGAAAUCAUUAGUAUUUUUUAUAUUUUAUUCGCUCCAUCAAUCAUUUAAAGUUUAAGCGGUGAUAUAGGAGUUGCGCCAACAUAUUAUGCCGACCACCAUAAACCAGUAAUUUUAAUCACUAUUCAUCCUACUCUUCUGCUUCUAGUACGAGAAGAACAAGUAAGUCCCCCUUUAUAGUUUACUUACUAUUUAAUAGUUUAGAUUAACGUAAUAUGUAAGCGAUCAGAUAAAAAAUACACAAAGUUGUAGUCAUCUAUCUAAAAAUUUAUUUAUUUUAUGGUUAAUUUUGAAACAUUGUAAAGUUUUUUCAAAUUUCUUAAGACAUCUUACCCGUCAUAUCACAUCCAGUUUGGUCAUGAAAAUAAUAAUUUUUUAGAGUUGAAUGAAGUUAGAGGUAAUGUUGUUUUAUCAUGAAAAUAAAUUAAAAUUAUUUUUAAAAUUUUGUUAGAAAAAUAGGAGUGAAUAAGUGAAAACGAGUUUUACUUAUUUUCACUUUUUAAAAAUAUUUUUCACUAAAGUAAAAUAUUUCUUAUGGACAAACACUAUUAUUUUUAUUUUUAAAAAUAAUUUUUUUUAGAAAAAGUAAAAUAAAAUGAAAUGAAUGGAAUAUAUAUAAUCUAAGUGAACAAAAAAAUCAAUUCACAUACUCUUGCCUCCAUGAGAAUUAUCCCUGUAGUAGCCCAUUUGGUCACGUGGCCUUCUUCUUUUUCGUUUACAGCAAGAUAUGAGGAAAACUAACAUGACAAGGAUCAAUAACCCUGCUCCUGCAGCAACUCCCACAAUGAUGGAUGUUCUGUUAUCAUCAGUCUUGUUAUUAUGAUCUAACGACUUGAUUGGUGGUGACUUAUGCUUCGGAGGAAAAAGAGACCCAGAGUUGGGACGAAAAGGAGAAGAAGGCGGUGGUGGUGGAGGAGGUGGUGGUGGUGGUGGUGGUGGAGGUGGUGAACCUCCAUUUGAAUUUGUUGAUUUUAAUGGAGGUGGAGAUUUCCUAUUAUUAUUAUUGUUAAUGUUACUAUUGUUGCUAUUGUCAUUCUUAUUGUCACCAUUGUUGUUAUUGUUGUUGUUGUUAUUGCCAUUGUUAC